AUGUCGCAGCUAUUCCUAACCCUUUGUUCCAUUGCCUCCUCAUUUGCAACCAUCACUAACCCUAACCCGACCUUGGACUUCUACACUAGUGGUGACCCCUUCACAUAUCACCAUGAUGUAUCAGAUACAUACAUCACACUUCAGUCGAACAGGGUAUCCUAAUCCCGGCUGGUUCCUAUAUAACGCUGUCUCCGGACAAUACUGUUCCCGACAUUCCACCAACAGUCAAAUCUUUACCUUUCAUAUUGCAAACUGCUACUAGUACCCAGUAUCUCUUCAAAGGAAUCUCGUCAACACUAUCCUCCGCCAAUUUUUUUUCUGCCCACUCAUUAAUCAACAACCUCCGUUUAUAUCCAUGUCAUCUAAAUUUUUCUAAAUUUUACAAAUUUCAAUUAUCCGCCACCUCCGCCGUUAUUUUUUUUUGCUUUCAUUCUCCGCCUCCGCCGCCUGAUACCCUAACCAACAAUGUCAUUUCCGUCCAUACACUUUAUAUGUUUUCCAAAUAUUGAAAUUCUCCGUCGCUGCCUCAGAUAAUUCCCGCUCCGACAUGCUACAACUAUCAGUAUUGUACAUAUUGUAUCUUAUUUAUGGUAUCAGUUAGUAAUAAAAAUUACAUGUCUGCUUUCUCUAA